GGCCGUUUAGCUUAAUGGCCGAGCGCCCCUCUAACCAUAAUCCUAAACGGCAAAUAGUGAAGGUGAAGAUCCGGGUUCGAAUCCCGGAGCGGCCC